UCCCAGCCUGUACGCCAGAUGACGUGGCAUUUACUUCUCUAAUUACCGACCUGAAAUCUAACUACUUAUAUCGAAUAUCGAUAACCAAAAUUGAAUAAAUCGGAUUGAGAUAUAAAACAAUAUGUAAUCAAACAACUAGUUUAUUUCAACCACCGAAUGGCAGCUGUUCAACCCAUACUUAAUAAUUAUUUAUAAUUAUAUGUAAGUUCUCAUUACGUCCAAUUCAAAUCGACCGCUCAACUACGCCAGCGCCAAAACAUCAACAAGGACAUAACACGUGUGGGAGAGUAAAAAAUUGAAGUAAAAUUUUUUGCGUACUAUACCUCAUCGAGAUGUCAAAUGUUUCAUUUCAAUUUUUGAGUUAAAAUGUUGAUCAUCUAGAGAGUUUUCGUCGAAGUUAAUUUUUGCUACCUUAAUUUUUGAUCUCAUGUAUACGUGAAAUACAUAGCUACUUUAAACCGUCAGCACUCCCGUUAUGAGCAUUUUGCUCACAGGACACUUAAAAUGAUAGGAUGUCGCCGUAGUGUAAGCGAGACACUAAAAAAUACGCGACUACUGAAUGGUGAAUUUGACUGUAGGUUGAGCUCAACUGGCUAUUUGGGAUACAGCUUUUAUACAUAUAUGUAUACGUAUAUAAAAUGACAUUGUGGUGGUAAAUACAAAUUUGAAAAACUA